CUGAGGUCUUCGGCAGAGAAGGAAUCGCCUUUGGCGUAGGCGUCAUCCGCCAUGUACAUAAUGCGGGCCAGGGGGCCCACGGAAUCCAGCAGGUUAUCCUGAGCGCCCCAUAGGCUUUUCUCUACCCCUCGGCGAGUGUCUCUUCCACUGCGCAUAAUGAAGGUUGUCAUAACCUUGUCAAACUCGGGUCUGAGCCACCUUAUCUGGCAGGGAAGGGCGUGGGCAUUCUGAU